CUUUAAGGGUCCUGAAGGAACGUUGAAGACGACGACGUUGAUAGGCCGGGUGUGUAAGCGCAGCGAUGCGUUGAGCUAACCGAUACUAAUGAACCGUGAGGCUUAACCUU
rnacentral:rRNA from 1 species